rnacentral:tRNA from 1 species
ACUGACUUGUAAUCAGUAGGUCCCGGGUUCGACUCCUGGUGCCGGCA